ACCCCGAUGACCGCUCCUGCUCUUGCUCCAACCUCGAUGACCGCUGCCGCUUCUGCUCCAACACCGACGACCGCGCUGCUCUGCUUCAACUCCGUCGCCCGUUGCUGCUGUUCUUCUGCCAUAGAUCGUCUCCAAUGUGCCCCUGCUGUUCUUCUUCGCCUGCAACAUCUACAGCUUCGAAUUGAAGAUCACCAAGACCAUAGGCUCUGAACUUCUCUCUUCUCUUGUUCCUGUUCUCUGAGUAUAUGCACCGUUGGGUCUGAAAUUUACUCUGUUACCUGUGCACCUUUGCUGAACCCUCAUGUAUCCUUGCUGAAUUGCUGUGAUCCUUGGCUGGAUAUUAAGUUAGUAGUUAUUCUCCUGUGAGCUGCUGUCACUUUAAUUGGUUGCAUGAGUUGUGUGUGAUAUCUGAACCAUAUUACAUGUGCUAGUGUUACUUGUCUGUUUUCUUACAAGAAAAUCACUAAAAAGAGAAAGUCCUAUUUCUGAACCCUUUUACCCUUGUUGCAUAUUAUUAUUUUUUACCUUGUUCCAGUAGCUGCUUGUUGUCACUUCGGUUGGAUUCAUCUGUUCAGUUGUUCUGAAUGCUUCAAAUGUGUGCUCCGAAGUUCUAGAUCCCUGUGGAGAACACGACAUCCGUAGUUCGGGGCGUAAAAACCCCGCUAUAUUACAAACGAUCAAACGCCAGGGCGGCAGGAUGGAGGUCAUCGGCGAGCCCAUCGCAGCGUCAUGACCAGGGGCUUUUGCAGGCGAAGACCACUUUAGUCAGGAUAGGAUGUACUUCUUGUCCCCCUUCAAAUCCAGCCGUUGUUGGAUCCCUUCCCGCCAACAUUUAGGAAGAGGACCAAGGCCACUAUAAGUAGGACUUAGCCACCACCAUAGAAGGGGGUACAUAUCCAAAUGGAGUGAAGCCAUUCCUCCUUCACCAGCUCACUUGAGCUCAAGAAAACCGCACCUCCUGAGGCUGUUCAUCCACUGUAUUAGUUCAAUCUCAACACCACGAGGCAAUCCACCACAAAGCUAGAGUAGGGUAUUACACCACAAGGUGGCCCGAACCAGGAUAAACUGUUGUGUCUCUCUAUCUCUUUGAGUUCGACAGGCUAGGCUAUGAGGAUCCUGAGUUGGCAGGCUGGGUAGGUUGAGAUCUCCGCGCGCACCCCAGAGUUCGAACCUAUCAAGGGUUUGCGGAACCCGAAAUCCGAAAUUUGGUGCCCCAGGUAGGGGUGCCUCGGAUCUUCUCUUCCAUUGACCGGUCCGCCGCUACUCAACCGACACCAUGGCCGACGCCCCGAGAGCCCAUGUUGAGCACUGUGUUGUCUGGGCUUCUUCGACAACACUUGCUGACGAGGAAGAUCUCCACUCCGUGCUGCUCGCGGCCCACGCUCCGCCUAGUGCUGCCGGACGCGGGAGGCGCGGGCCGCAGCCCCCUCCUCUUGCGUCGCAUCAUAACUGCGCCACCGUGCAGUCUUCGAGCUAUGCCACGGCAACAGCACCGCACACUCGCCGGGAGCAGGCAAACAUGCAAGUCGCAGUCAUUGUGGCUCGAGAACUGCUAAGGUGUAGCCUGGCGGAAUGUGGCCGCGACACCCUGCUGGAGGGAGUUGCCGAGUUGCUGGAUGCAUCAUGCAGGGGGCAACACCAUUCUGCACCAUGCCCAUGUCGCAAGUCGUGGUAGGGGCACGCGCUCACCCUCGCCACACCCGCGCCUCCCCUCCCAGGGCCGCUAAAGAGCCUCUCGGCGUCAGCCUACCUCACGGCAGGGCCCGCACAACUCGGACCAUGCCACCUCUGGGCGGGGCGACUCCGAGCAACCUCCCCUAGGGUCGCGCAGGGGCACCGACCCGCGGUCACCAAGACCUGAUGAUGACCGCGGGGAGGGGGGGCAGAAGCGUGAGGCAACCGGGAAACGACUCAGGCGCGGCCAGCCUGGAAGCCUACGUGCCCGUCGUAGUGGACCUGAGGUCCACGCCGGGAGAAGGCCCCAGCCGAUCCCCCGUGCCAGGCUGGCUGCUAGAGGUACACGAAGCCGAGGCUCUUUGCGAGCCGCUGCAGGGCUCCACCAACACCUUCGACAGCAACAACCACUGGGUACAGCUGACGCCUCAGGAGCACGCUUGCGCUAACAAUGGACCGCAGGUGAACCAAGGCGCAGCGACCGCCAGGGCUCCCAGGGUGGCGGCCCAGCCGCAGGAGCCCGAAGGGCCUUGGUAGCGGCAUGGAGGGGAGCCCGGGGCCAGGGCAUCCCCCGCGCUGUGCGGAGCAAGACGCUGCUCUGAGGUAGGUCCCCCGCCAGGGAAGGCGCUGGCGAGCCCUUCCCCCCGGCGAAGGUCCUACGGUCGUCGAGGGCACCGCCAGCGUCCCCCUUGCCCCUUGGUCUCAUCCUGGUUUUCGGACACCCCAACGGUAGUCAGGGGCAGUGCAGGGCGGGGUCCUCGUCGGACGACAUGAAGCAAGGCUUCGGCUGAUACGUCUCCGUUGUAACUACUUUUCCAAACACUUUUGCCCUUGUUUUCGACUCUAACAUGCAUGAUUUGAAGAAACUAACUCGGACUGACACUGUUUUCAGCAGAACUCCCAUGGUGUUAUUUUUGUGCAGAACUAAAAUUUCUCGGAAUGACCUGAAAAUCCACGGAGCAACUUUUCAGAAUUAAUAAAAAAUAUUGGCGAAAGAAAUUGUGCCAGGGGGCCCACACCCUAUCCACGAGGGUGGGGGCGCGCCCCCUCCCCCUGGGCGCGCCCCCUGCCUGAUGGGCCUGCUGGAUGUCCACCGACCUCAACUCCAACUCCAUAUAUUCUCUUUCGCGGAGAAAAAAUCAAAGAAAAAGUUUCAUCGCGUUUUACGAUGCAGAGCCACCGCCAAGCCCUAAUCUCUCUCGGGAAGGCUAAUCUAGAGUCUGUUCGAUGCUCCGGAGAGGGGGAUUCAUCGCUGUCAUCAUCAUCCACCAUCCUCCAUCACCAAUUUCAUGAUGCUCACCACCGUGCAUGAGUAAUUCCAUCGUAGGCUUGCUGGACGGUGAUGGGUUGGAUGAGAUUUACCAUGUAAUCAAGUUAGUUUUGUUAGGGUUUGAUCCCUAGUAUCCACUAUGUUCUGAGAUUGAUGUUGCUAUGACUUUGCUAUGCUUAAUGCUUGUCACUAGGGCCCGAGUGCCAUGAUUUCAGAUCUGAACCUAUUAUGUUAUCAUGAAUAUAUGUGAGUUCUUGAUCCUAUCUUGCAGGUCUAUAGUCACCUAUUAUGUGUUAUAAUCCGACAACCCCGAAGUGACAAUAAUCGGGAUACUUCUCGGUGAUGACCGUAGUUUGAGGAGUUCAUGUAUUCACUAUGUGUUAAUGCUUUGGUCCAGUACUCUAUUAAAAGGAGGCCUUAAUAUCCCUUAGUUUACACUAGAACCCUGCUGCCACGGGAGGGUAGGAAAAAAGAUGUCAUGCAAGUUAUUGUCCAUAAGCUUGUAUGACUAUAUUCGUAAUACAUGCCUACAUUACAUUGAUUAAUUGGAGCUAGUUCUGUGUCACCCUAUGUUAUAACUAUUACAUGAGGAAUCGCAUCUGACAUAAUUAUCCAUCACUGAUCCAAUGCCUAUGAGCUUUUCACAUAUUGUGCUUUGCUUAUUUACUUUACUGUUGCUACUGUUACAAUUACUACAAAACGACUAUCGUUACUUUUUCCACUGUUACCGUUACUAUCAUACUACUUUGCUACUAAAUACUUUGCUGAAGAUACUAAGUUAUCCAUGUGCGGUUAAAUUGACAACUUAACUGCUAAUACUUGGAAUAUUCUUUGGCUCCCCUUGUGUCGAAUCAAUAAAUUUGGGUUGAAUACUCUACCCUCGAAAACUAUUGCGAUCCUCUAUACUAGUGGGUUAUCAAGACUAUUUUCUGGCGCCGUUGCCGGGGAGCAUAGCUCUAUUCCUUGAUUCACUUGGGAUUUAUUUCUUCUGAUCACUAUGACGAACUUGAAAGACAAAAGAAGUAAAAAAAUUCCCCAACUACGAGGGGAGGUAAGGAGAUGCCAUCUAGCCAUGCACUAGAUUCUCCUUCUGUUUUGAGUAAACUUGCGACACCUAAACCUGCUACUGCUAUGAAUUCUGAUAUGUCGCAUGUUAUUGAUGAUGCCACUUCUGCUAUGCAUGAUACUUAUGAUGAAACUAGUUCCGUGCUUGAUACUACUGUGCCAUUAGGUGAAUUUCUUGACUAAUAACUUGCUAGGGCUAGAGAGAAUGAAAUUAUUGAAGAUAGUGAUGAUGAAGGUUCUCCCCCUAAAUAUGAAUUGCCUGUUGUUCCUGAGGGUUAUGUUAUGGAUGCAGAAACCGCUAGGGAUUGUCUUGCUUGCAAUGAUAGAUCUGAUCUUAGGAAGUUACUAGUUAAACUUAAACAGAAAUCUCUAAAUGCUAGAAUGAAAUAUGACCCUUCUUUUGCUACUUCACCUAUCUUUGUUACUGAUAAGGAUUAUGAAUUCUCUGUUGAUCCUGAGAUAAUUACUUUGGUUGAAUCUGAUCCUUUUUUAUGGCUAUGAAUCUGAAACUGUUGUGGCACAUCUUACUAAGUUAAAUGAUAUAGCCACCCUGUUCACUAAUGAUGAGAAAUAUCGCUACUAUUAUAUCCUUAAGAUAUUUCCAUUCUCAUUAAAGGGUGAUGCUAAAACUUGGUUUAAUUCUCUUGAUCUUGGUUGUGUGCGUAGUCCCUAGGAUAUGAUUUAUUACUUCUCUGCUAAAUAUUUCCCUGCACAUAAGAAACAAGCUGCCUUGAGGGAAAUAUAUAAUUUUGUGCAAAUUGAAGAAGGGAGUCUCCCACAAGCUUGGGGGAGGCUUCUCCGAUUACUUAAUGCUUUGCCUGAUCAUCCUCUUAAGAAAAAUGAAAUACUUGAUAUCUUUUAUAAUGGACUAACUGAUGCUUCCAAGGACCACUUGGAUAGUUGUGUUGGUCGUGUUUUCAGGGAAAGAACAGUCGACCAAGCUGAAUUCUUAUUGAAUAAUAUGUGAUUAAUGAAAAUAAGUGUACUCUUCCUGAGCCAACUCCUGAGCCUAUUCCUAAACCAACUCCAAAGAAGAGGGGUGUUCUAUUUCUCAGUCCUGAGGAUAUGCAAGAGGCAAAGAAAUCUAUGAAAGAAAAAGGUAUUAAAGCUGAAGAUGUUAAGAAUUUACCUCCUGUUGAAGAAAUACAUGGUCUUAAUAUACCACCUAUUGAAGAAACACAUUGUCUUGAUAACCCGACACAGGUAGUAAAGGUAAAUUCUCUCUAUAGAUAUAAUAAAGUUUAAAUCCCCUCUACUAAGUUUCCUAGCCAGUGUUUGGAUGAAUUUUAUGACUUUAUGGCUAGGCAAGAAAAAUUCAAUGCUUAUGUUGGUAGAGAAUAAACAGUAAUGCUUACAUGAUUGGACGCUUGAGUGAUUAUAUGGCUAGAGUGAAAGGUGAACUUAAACUCAUUAGUAAAUAUGUUUCUAUGGUUACCACUCAAGCAGAACAAGUACUUAAAGCUCAAAGUGAUUUGCUCAAUGAAUUGAAUAAUAAACACGAGUCUGUUGUUAGAGUGGCUACUAGAACUGGUAGAAUGACUCAGGAACCUUUCUAUCCUAAAGGUCACCCUAAGAGAAUCGAGCAAGAUUCUCAGAGAAAUAAUGUAGAUGCACCUAGUCCUUCUAAAAAGAAAAAGAAAAAUAAUAUGACUUUGCAUGCUUCUAGUGAACCUGUUGUAGACACACCUAAGAAUCCCAAUGAUAUUUCUAUUUCUGAUGCUGAAACACAAUAUGGUGAUGAACAUGAACCUAGUGAUAAUGUUAAUGAUAAUGUUCAUGUUGAUGCUUAACCUAGCAAUAAUAAUGAUGUAGAGAUUGAACCUGCUAUUGAUCUUGAUAACCCACAAUCAAAGAAUCAACAUUAUGAUAAGAGAGACUUUGUUGCUAGGAAGCACGGUAAAGAAAGAGAACCAUGGGUUCAUAAACCCAUGCCUUUUCCUCCUAAGCCACCAAGAAAAAGGAUGAUGAGGAUUUUGAGCGCUUUGCUGAAAUGAUUAGACCUAUCUUCUUACGUAUGCGCUUAACUGAUAUGCUUAAAAUGAAUCCUUAUGCUAAAUACAUGAAGGAUAUUAUUACAAAUAAAAUAAAGAUACCGAAAGUUGAAAUUUCCACCAUGCUUGCUAAUUAUACUUUUAAAGGUGGAAUACCAAAGAAACUAGGAGAUCUAGGAGUACCAACUAUACCAUGCUCCAUUAAAAGAAACUAUGUUAAAACUGCUUUAUGUGAUCUUGGAGCCGGUGUUAGUCUUAUGCCUCUCUCUUCAUUUCAUAGACUUGAAUUGAAUAAGUUGACACCUACUGAAAUAUCUUUGCAAAUGGCCGAUAAAUCAACUGCUAUACCUGUCGGUAUUUGUGAGGAUGUGCCUGUUGUGAUUGCAAAUGUCACUAUCUUCACGGACUUUGUUAUUCUUGAUACUCCCGAGGACGGUAGUAUGUCGAUUAUCCUUGGUAGACCUUUUUUGAAUACUGCAGGGGCUGUUAUUGAAUGCAACAAAGGCAAUGUCACUUUUCAUGUUAAUGGUAAUGAGCAUACGGUACACUUUCCGAGGAAACAACCUCAAGUUGAUAGCAUCAAUUCUAUUGGGAAAAUUCCAACUAUUAUUAUUGGAGGUUUUGAAUUUCCUCUUCCUACUGUUAAGAAGAAAUAUGAUAUUCUUAUUAUUGGGGAUGUGCAUAUCCCCGUUGAGGUAACCUAGUGUUAUUCAAAAUUUCUCCGGUUCCAUGUUAUUCGAAAUGGGUUUGUUAACAAGAUUUGAGCAACCUUAUUAGUGGAUUCCUUUUGAUGAUCAUGAGAUGGAUGAAGUUAGAAGGCACAACCUUCUGUACCCUCCUUUUACUUUCUGUUAUUUAGAAUAAAUAAAGCAAAAAAUAGUAUUUUCUGUCUAUUUUCUGUAUUAUCCAUGCAAUAAAAAAUACCCCGAAAAUAAAAGUUCUCCAAAUGCCCUGCCAAUUUAGUAUGAUUUUUUCUGGAAUAUUUGGGGAUUUUAGGAACUGAGAACGCAGUAGGGGGGCAAGCACCUGGCCACGAGGGUCUAGGGCGCGCCCACCCCUACAGGGCGCGCCCCCUGCCUCGUGGGCCCAUGGUGGCCCCCUCCACUUAUUCCUGCACCCACACACUCCAUCUUCCUCCCAAAAAAAUCCCCAUCCAGCUCAAGCACGAGUUCUAGCUCAUUUUGCUGUGAUUUUCGAUCUCCUUGCUCAAUGCUCCAUUCACAAAACUGCUUUGGGAGAUUGUUCCUUGGUAUGUGACUCCUCCAAUGGUCCAAUUAGUUUUUGUUCUAGUGCUUUAUUCAUUUCAAAUUUUUGCUGCCUAGGUGACCCUGUUCUUGAGCUUGCAUGACAAAUUUAUGAGGUCCCAAGUAAUUCUAAUGCAUGAUAUAGGCUCUAGGCACUUGUGGGAGUAGUUGCUAUCAACUUUAUUGAGUUUGAUUCAGUUUUAUCUUGAGUUACUAAAUUUUCAGAAAUUUUACGAAAAUUAUGAAGAGAUUUUCGAGGGGCUCUUCUAGCCAAGGCUCCAAGGACAAACAAGCUAAGGAGAAAGAAAAGGCCAAGUAUAAUCUUCCUCGCGUAGCGGAAGUACGGCCGUGUGAAUGGCCUUGUGAUAAUUGCUUGAGAGCAGCGGGAUUUAUGAAGACUUUUAUUCUUUGGCUGAUAAUGCGGGCCUCACCAACUUCCUCCACGACCGGAUCGAACAGUAUCUCUUACUCACCAAUACUUUCGUGCAAAACUUCUACUAUUAUCCUAAGAAUUCAUGUCCUUCAGUAGAUUUUCAUUUAUAUGAUGAGGCUAGGGAGAUGCCAUUACGUAAUUUUUGCGCACUUUGCAGAAUACCCUUCGAGGGUAGUUUAGAUGAACCACAUCGUAAAUAUGUGGAUGGCUUUAUUGAUACUAUUAGUGUAGGGGAAUCGAGGAAUGUUUCCGAUGCAAGAAUCACUAGCAUACAGUUUCCUGGUUUAUGCUACUUUGCCAUAUUGGCCAGUCGAUGUUUAAUUGGUCGCGGAAACUGUGGAAACCUUAGUGUUCCUGAUAUUAUUAUUUUGUUCCAUGCCUUAUUUCGCGAUAACUCUUUUGGAUGCCAUUAUUGCUAAACGAUUAAGCCUGAACCUUACAAAAGGCCCCAUCUUUGGAGGUAUCUAUGUUGCACGCCUUGCUAAACAUUUCGAGAUACCUAUUAGGCAUUAUGAGAAAGAGGAGACAAUGCUACCCCCUACUUUUCUAGAUUAUAAGAGCAUGGUAGCACAUGAGUUUAUUGUUAACAAUGAUGAUAAUAUGCUUCUAUAUAACUUGAGAUUUAAUAAGAAACACAAUGAGAUUAUCAUCUUGCCUGCGCCUUCUUUGUUUGAUUUAACUGCAGGCCAUUACCUUGUCUUGCCAUCGGCCCUGUACACGCACCGAGGCCAGACAUCAGCUCCAGAGCCUGAGCUGGAACCACCACUAGACCCUUAUCGUCCAUCAUCUUAUCAGUGGGAUCCGAAGCAGAUCGCCAGCCAGUGGCAAUACAAUGACACUCCUCAGUACACCGGGGAGAGUAGCCGCGAUCCAUGGCCAUAAACCAACUUAGGCAAAAAUCCCAAGCUUGGGGGAGUACGUAUUUCUCACCGACAUUACAUUCAUGUUCACACACUCAUUCUAGUUGUCGGUGCUCAUACUUUUCAUUGUAUUAUCCAUGCUAGUUUAAUUUCUUUUUCUAGCUUUCUUCUUGUGUGUUUGAUAAACCUUAAGAAAAAACAAAAAUAUUAGUUAGUUCACUUUCCAUGUUGUAGUAGUAGUAAUUAAAAGAAAACCCAAAAAGAUUUCUCGUUCUUCUUUUUACUUGUUGGGAGCUUUCCCGUGUAAAUAGUUUUAUUUUCUUUUCUUUUCCUUUGGGGGUCGAGAGGAGAAGACCAUAAUGAAAAUGUUUAAGUGGCUCUCAUAUGCAUGAUUGUUGAUUUAACCAAGAGCCCAUAUUACCUUCUCUUCUCCCUUGAAUUGAAUGCUUGCAGAUUCCAGCUUAGUCCAAUGCACGUGCACUAUUAUUAUUAUACACACCGUUCGGUCGUGCAAGUGAAAGGCAAUAAUGACGAUAUAUGAUGGACUGGUUGAGAUGAGAGAAGCUGGUAUGAACUCGACCUCUCUUGUUUUUGUAAAUAUGAUUAGUUCAUCAUUCCUUAUUUAGCCUAUUAUGAAUGAACAUGUUUGCCAUGACAAUUAGAGAUUAUAGUUUCUUAUGCCAUGUUUAAUUAGCUAGGAUCUUAUAAUGGUUUAUUUGCAUGCCAACAUGCUAUUAAAAUGGUUGUGAUGUGGUAUGAUAGGGUGGUAUCCUCCUUUGAAUGAUUCGAGUGACUUGACAUGGCACAUGUUCACGCAUGUAGUUGAAACAAAAUCAACAUAGCCUUCACGAUAUUUAUGUUCAUGGUGGAUUAUAACCUACUCAUGCUUGCACUCCGUGUUGAUUAAUUUUAAUGCAUGUUCAUGACUGUUAUCGCUCUCUCAGUUGGUCGUUUCCCAGUCUUUUGCUAGCCUUCACCUGUACUAAGCGGGAAUAUUGCUUGUGCAUCCAAACUCCAUAAACCCCAAAGUUAUUCCAUAUGAGUCCACCAUACCUUCCUAUUUGCGGUAUUUACCUACCAUUCCAAAUAAAUUUGUAUGUGCCAAACUCCAAACCUUCAAAUGAAAUUAUGUUUUGUAUGCUCGAGCAGCUCAUGUAUCAACUAGGACUGUCUGUAUCUUCCAUGCUAGGUGGGUUAUUCUCAAGAGGAGUGGACUCUGCUCCUCAUUCACGAGAAAAUGGCUAGUAACCGGGAUACCCAGUCCCAUGAUCAAAAAGAUCAAAUCAAAUCAAAAUAAUUAAACAAAACACCCUCAGGAUUGUUGCUAGUUGGAGGCACCUGUUGUUUUGGGCAAGCCAUGGAUUGAUGCUUGUUGGUAGUGGGGGAGUAUAAACUUUACCAUUCUGUUUCGGAACCGCCUAUAAUGUGUGUAGCACGGAAGAUAUCGAGAUCUCAUAGUGGUUAUAUUGACAGUGAAAGUAUACCGCUCAAAAUGUUAUUUAUCUCUAUUUCCAAAUUGAGCUUUCGCACCUCUACAAAUCCCUGCUUCCCUCUGCGAAGGGCUUUACUUUUAUGUUGAGUCAUCACCUUCUUAUUAAAAAGCACCCGCUGCAGAGCACACUGUCAUUUGCAUGCAUUACCAUUAGUUUAUAUUGGGUAUGACUUGACUGGAUCUCUUUUACCAUGAAUUACAAUGUUUAGUCAGUCCUUGAUCUUUAAAGGUGCUCUGCAUUUAUGUUUUACGGUCUCAGAAAGGGCUAGCGAGAUACCAUUUUUUUAUAUCAUAUAUGAUUGUUUUGAGAAAGUGUUGUCAUCCGAGAUUUAUUAUUUUUGCUCGAUUAUGCCAUUGAUAUGAGUAAACAUGAGACCUAAGUGUUAUUGUGAAUAUGGUUAGUUCAUAAUCUUUGCUGAAAACUUGAAUGUUGGCUUUACAUAUUUACAACAACAAGAGCAAACAGAGUUUGUAAAAGUUUUACUUUGUCACUUUCAGUUUGUCAAUUGAAUUGCUUGAGGACAAGAAAAGGUUUAAGCUUGGGGGAGUUGAUACCUCUUUGUCGUAUCUACUUUUCCAAAUACUUUUGCCCUUGUUUUGGACUCUAACUUGCAUGAUUUGAAUGAAACUAACCCAGACUGACGCUGUUUUCAGCAGAGCUGCCAUGGUGUUAUUUUUGUGCAGAAAUAAAAGUUCUCGGAAUGACCUGAAAAUCCAUGGAGCAACUUUUCAGAAUUAAUAAAUUAAUACCGGCGAAAGAAAUAGCGUCAGGGGGUCCACACCCUGCCCACGAGGGUGGGGGCGCGCCCCCUGCCUUGUGGGCCCCCUGGAUGUCCACCGACCUCAACUCCAACUCCAUAUAUUCUCUUUCGCGGAGAAAAAAAUCAGAUAAAAAGUUUCAUCACGUUUUACAAUAUGGAGCUGCCGCCAAGCCCUAAUCUCUCUCGGGAGGGCUGAUCUGGAGUCCAUUCGGGGCUCCGGAGAGGGGGAUUCGUCGCUGUCGUCAUCAUCAACCAUCCUCCAUCACCAUAUUCUUGAUGCUCACCGCCGUGCGUGAGUAAUUCCAUUGUGUUCUUGCUGGACGGUGAUGGGUUGGAUGAGAUUUACCAUGUAAUCAAGUUAGUUUUGUUAGGGUUUGAUCCCUAGUAUCUACUAUGUUCUGAGAUUGAUGUUGCUAUGACUUUGCUAUGCUUAAUGCUUGUCACUAGGGCCCGAGUGCCAUGAUUUCAGAUCUGAACCUAUUGUAUUUUCAUGAAUAUAUGUGAGUUCUUGAUCCUAUCUUGCAAGUCUAUAGUCACCUAUUAUGUGUUAUGAUCUGACAAUCCCGAAGUGACAAUAAUCGGGAUACUUCUCGGUGAUGACCGUAGUUUGAGGAGUUCAUGUAUUCACUAUGUGUUAAUACUUUGGUCCAGUACUCUAUUAAAAGAGGCCUUAAUAUCCCUUAGAUUCCCUAGGACCCCGCUGCCAUGGGAGGGUAGGACAAAAGAUGCCAUGCAUUUUCUUUUCCAUAAGCACGUAUGACUAUAUUCGGAAUACAUGCCUACAUUACAUUGAUGAAUUGGAGCUAGUUCUGUGUCACCCUAUGUUAUAACUAUUACAUGAGGAAUAACAUCCGACAUAAUUAUCCAUCACUGAUCUAAUGCCUUCGAGCUUUUCACAUAUUUUGCUUUGCUUAUUUACUUUACUGUUACAAUUAGUACAAAACUGCUAUCGUUACUUUUGCCACUAUUACCCUUACUAUCAUACUACUUUGCUACUAAAUACUUUGCUGCAGAUACUAAGUUAUCCAGGUGUGGUUGAAUUGACAACUCAACUGCUAAUACUUGAGAAUAUUCUUUUGCUCCCCUUGUGUCAAAUCAAUAAAUUUGGUUUGAAUAGUCUACGCUCGAAAACUGUUGUGAUCCCCUAUACUUGUGGGUUAUCACCAGCCAAUGAAGGUCUCCGCUCGUGACACUCUUACAUAAUAACGAGUGGGGCUGUUUACACCCCGGAGUCUCCUGAGUGCCGCCCUGGGGCCUCUCGGGGGCUUGAUGAGGAUAUAGACCUAGGUUAGGGUCAUAGGCCUGACCUAUACGACCUACCCAAGGUCACUACCCUAGAAGCAAAGAAGCUCAAGAGACAACAGGGGGUACCCAAUAAAGGUGUCGAGUGCAAUCCACGCGACCAAUGAACAACUAGGGUAUCCCUCCUUCCCGAAGUCACACGACCAGUCAACCACUCAACCAUACAAGAAAUCACUGGACCUACUGAAGACCAGAAGUCACUCAGAACAGCAACGGGCGAGCAUUCACUCCGUAGUCUUUAAGGUCAUUAAAGGCACUUAAGGCUGGUGUUACCAGUAACGCCCCAAAUCUUUAUGUACAUUGAACCCUCUAUUACGGGGGAUGGCUGGGGUCCUGGCGAACUCUAUAUAAGCCACCCCCUCCUCUGGCACGAGGGUUCGCACCCCAUGUAACACACACACACACACUCAUACAUUCCAAUCGACCGCCUCCGGGCACCGAGACGUAGGGCUUUUACCUCCUCCGGGAGGGGCCUGAACUCGUAAAAUACUCGUGUACAACCUUGCCGUAGCUAGGACCUUGCCUCUCCAUACGUACCCCCUAAACUUACUGUCAGACUUAGUACCACGACAGUGGGCGCCCACCAUGGGGCAAAGUGUCUUAGCCACUUCCGGCGAGGUUGCUUUUUCUUCGACCUUCAUCAGCAUGGUUGCCGGUGGCGAUUUGGUCAUGGGCCGCGAGUUCCGGCUCGACGCGCUCAUUUUCGUCGCCGACAACUCUGCCUGGCUCCAGGAGGCUCCCCUCGACAUCGAGGCCCUCCCGGGUCGCGGCUUGGCAUACUUCCGCGCGAGUUCCUGCGGCAUCAUCCUUAGGCAGUCGUCUUCACCAUACUAGUCGGUCAUCGCGUUGUCGACUCACUCCCCUGGACGCCGCUGCAAGUGGUCUGGUCGUUCGCGGCUCCAGUGAUGGGUGAGACACACGAUGGCUAGUCGGGACUUCACCCCCAAGUCGCGGCUAUUAAGCCCAACAUGCAUUCUCGUGGAUCGGUCAAACUGUCGACUGAUUUCGCAGAUACUCUUUAUGAGAGCAGGAGUUGUUAUCCCGCGGUGAAUGUUCUCAUGGUCGACUCCCAUCGCGGUCCGCCUGGGUUCCGCCACAAUGGCAACGGCGGCAGAAGCACUGGUCCGUCACUCGGCCACGAAGAGUACCAGCACCAACCUCUCAGCUCGCGGCAGAGGGAGGAGCUGCACCGCCGCAGCGUGGAGGCUCUCCAGACCCCCAUCAUAGGGGAAACCGACAAGGCUCGGGCCUUGGAGGCGGUGCGCCUGGCCACUCUGGCUGAGUGCACUCAUGUGGAGAAUCUCCAACAUUCUGUCGGCGAGCGUGCUCGUCGACUGAUUCUCUAAUCCAGUCGACGUCCACGACAGUUGUUUCCACCGGAAACUCAAGUAUUCCAUACACCGAUUCAGAAUUUGGCAGCCGCUGCACAUAUUGCAGAGUCUAUUCAGCCGUCUCGUUCAGAGGCUGGGAGAGGCCUGGAGCAGAUCAGAAUGUUGCUCCGAGCAGCGGGGGACCAGAACUCCGUUGUUUCCUAGUCGCGGAACAGAAUCCACAGCAGAUCGGUGAGAGCAGAUAGCGUUCAGUCGGCUCACAGUCCUAGGUCCCCUUUGCGGCAGGGAGUCCGUGAUCACUGCCAGGAUCGGUACCUGGGAAGAGCUCAUGGUGAAUAUGAUCGUGAGUAUGCCCGCGACAACUACCGUCGAGUGCCUUCGCCCCUUCCGAGGGACGGGUCAUAUGCGCCCCGGCGCAAUGAUGACAGGCAUCCAUACGGGAACAACCGCAGAGUUCCAAUCGACCCCAGAGAACCUGGCUUUGACGCAAGGUCUGUCCUUUUGCAAGGUUUGGUCGACCGGAAUAGAGCAUACAGAGAAGGGUUGGAUUGGAACAGACCCAGUGGGGGCAGAGUCCAUGUUUCCGGCCCCGAAUGUUUCGGAAGGGCCAUCAGAGCUGCUGAGAUACCCCAUAACUUCAGACUGGAGACUGGCGUCAGUAAGUCUACAGGCGAGUCAAAGCCCGAUACUUGGCUCGAAGACUACCGAGUGGCUGUGCACAUCGGUGGCGGCAGCGAUGAGGUGGCCAUGAAGCACCUUCCUCUGAUGCUUGAAGGGUCUGCCAGAGCUUGGCUGACUCAGUUUCCCCUAGGAGUAUUUUGAGUUGGGAUGAGUUAGCCCGAGUGUUCACCAGAAUGUUUGAGGGCACUUGCAAGAGACCUGCCAGUCUACCAGAGCUACAACAUUGCAUGCAGAAACCGAAUAAAAUCCUCAGGGACUAUAUCUAGAGAUGGAUCACUCUGCACCACACAGUGGAAAAUGUGUCAGAUCACCAAGUGGUCUGUGCUUUCAAGGAAGGUGUUCGCUACAGAGAGCUCGUCCUGAAAUUCGGUCGAACAUGAGAUAUGUCUUUGACUCGGAUGAUGGAGAUGGCUACCAAAUACGCUAACGGUGAAGAGGAAGACCGACUCUGGAGUGGCAAACAUAAAACAGUCGCCCAGGACACCGGAGGAGGAAAUUCCAGUCGGAAGCAGAAGCAAAAGGCUGAGGCAGCAGUGGUGUUAAAUCAAUGAAAGUUCAAAGGGAAACCUAAAGGGCCCUGGACCCCUAAGAAGGUGAAAGAUCAGGAUGGAAACGAUGUGUUGGAUUUGCCGUGUCAUAUUCACACCAAGAAAGAUGAGGAGGGGAAUCUGAUUCUCGCCAAGCAUACCACUCAUCAAUGUCGACUCCUCAUCUAGAGCUUCUGAGAGAGUAAACCCAGUGAUAAGGACAAAGAGCCUGAGAAGUAAGAUGAGGAUAAGGAUGAUGACGGUGCUUAUCCCAAUAUCAAUGCUACCUUGGUGAUUUUUGCCGAUAUUGAGAGCAAAAGUCGACCGAAGGUCAUUAACAGAGAAGUAAACUUGGUUGCUCCGGCAACGCCGAGAUAUCUGAAGUGGUCGAAGGUCCCCAUUACAUUUGACCAGUCCGACCACCCGGCACGCGUAGCUACCCCUGGGCGGCAGGCGCUGGUGGUCGACCCAGUCGUAGGGGCACCUGACUGACUAAGGUCCUGAUGGAUGGUGGCAGUGGCCUAAAUAUUCUGUAUGUUGAAGCUCUCAAUGGAAUGGGCAUCCCGAUGUCCAAACUCAGCAAGAGUAGCAUGCGGUUCCAUGGGACAUACCAGGAAAGAAAGCCAAAUCACUCGGCCAUAUCACUCUCGAUGUGGUUUUUGGUGAUGAGAAGAAUUUCCGCAAGGAGAAGUUGACGUUUGAGGUAGUGGAUUUCCAGAGUGCAUAUCAAGCCAUUCUGGGCAAACCUGCUUAUGAUAGCUUUAUGGCUCGACUGUGCUCUGUUUAUCUCAAGAUGAAGAUGUCUUUCCCCAGAGGCGUAAUAACGGUUUCUGGUAACCAUCAGAGAGCAGAAGAUUGUCUUCAAGAUGGAGCAAAAAUAGCAGAUGAGCAGAUGGUAGCAGUAGAGUUCCAAGAAUAUCAGAAGACAGCAGAUCCAAUUGAUUUGUUGCGUGCUAAGAGGCCUGCCUCAGAGUCCGCAUUUCAAUUAGCCAGAGAGAACAAGCCAGUCCAUGUUCACCCGACUGAUCCCAAUGCAGCUCCGACUCAUAUCUCAACGACGCUCGAUAGCAAAUAGGAAGAAGCGCUGAUCAAGUUCCUCUAUGAGAACUGGGACAUCUUUGCGUGGAAACCUUCUGACAUGCCAGGUGUACCCAGGGGACUGGCUGAGCACCGUUUGCGUGUUGAUCCAAAAGUAAAACUCGUCAAAGAGUACCUCCGUCGAUCCGCCACAGAGAAGAGAAAGGCCAUUGGUGAAGACGUGGCUCGGCUCCUGGCUGAUGAGUACAUCUGCGAGAUAUACCACUCCGAGUGGCUCGCCAAUGUCGUUAUGGUUCCCAAGAAAGACAAUUCACUUCGAAUGUGCAUUAACUUCAAACACAUCAAUCGGGCCUGCCCGAAAGAUCAUUUUCCUCUACCCCGCAUCGACCAGAUUGUCGACUCAACUGCGGGAUGUGAGCGACUGUCCUUCCUGGACGCUUAUUCCAGGUACCAUCAGAUCCAACUGUAUGGACCCAACGAGAUAAAAACAGCUUUCAUCACCCCGUUUUAGUGUUUUUGCUAUGUUACUAUGCCCUUCGGCCUCAAGAAUGCUGGUGCCACAUUCAUGCACAUGAUUCAGAAGUGCCUGCUCACUCAACUCAGUCGAAAUGUGGAAGCAUAUAUGUUUGACAUAAUGGUUAAGUCACACAAAGGUUCUAACCUGCUGACUGACCUUGCUGAAACCUUUACCAACCUGAGAAGGUAUGAUAUCAAGCUUAACCCAUCUAAGUGCACAUUUGGAGUCCCAGGCGGAAAGUUACUCGGUUUCCUUGUUUCCGAAUGAGGGAUCGACGCAAACCCUGAGAAGAUUGGCACAAUCCUCCGAAUGAAGCGCCCAAUGCGCAUGCAUGACAUUUAGAAGCUUACUGGUUGCUUGGCCGCUUUGAGACGAUUCAUCUCACGGCUCGGUGAAAAGGCACUGCCUCUUUACCGACUGAUGAAGAAAUCUGACAAAUUUGAGUGGAGUGAUGAAGCUGAAGUAGCACUUAAGGAGCUCAAAGCCUUGCUUUCCACCCAGCCGGUGCUUGCUGCUCCGGUUAGCAAGGAUCCCCUGUUGCUUUACAUCGCAGCCACAGAACAAGUUGUUAGCACAGUGCUCACGGUCGAGCGGGAAGAAGAGGGCAAAGCCUUCAAAGUUCAGCGCCCCGUGUAUUACAUCUCAGAAAUCUAAAUCUCAUCCAAGCAGAGGUAUCCUCAUUAUCAGAAGCUUGUUUAUGGGAUUUACCAGACCAUGAAGAAGGUUGCACAUUAUUUCUCCGAUCAUUCAAUAUCAGUCGUCAGCGAUGCUCCAUUGUCAGAGAUCCUGAAUAACAGAGAUGCAAUUGGUCAAGUGGCAAAGUGGGCGAUUGAACUUCUUCCUUUGGAUAUCAAAUUUGAGGCAAAGAAGGCCAUUAAGUCUCAAGCAAUUGCAAAUUUCCUCGCAGAGUGGACUGAACAACAACAGCCGAUUCAAAUUUAGUCGGAGCAUUGGACCAUGUUCUUUGAUGGAUCCAAGAUGUUAAAUGGCUCUGGUGCAGGAGUGGUCUUAGUAUACCCACGAGGAGACAAACUCAGUUAUGUCCUUCAGAUUCACUUUGACUCUUCAAACAAUGAAGCUGAGUAUGAAGCACUUUUAUAUGGGUUGCAUAUGGCCAUUUCACUCGACGUCCGACGCCUGAUGGUUUAUGGCGACUCAGAUUUGGUGGUUAACCAAGUGAGGAAAGAAUGGUAUGUUAGGAGUCCCGCAAUGACAGGUUACUGCAAUGAAGUGAGAAAGCUAGAGAAGAAGUUUGUGGGAUUGGAGCUCCACCACAUACCACGAAUCAAAAAUCAAGUUGCUGAUGAUCUACCGAAGACAGGUUCCACUCGGAAGCCUAUCCCCAGCAAUGUGUUCUUGGAGCAUCUCCAUACCUUGUCAGUGCAAGAAGAUCCCUUCAAAGAAGAGCCCCGCAACCGAUUAGUCCAACCAACCCAACUGAGGUAGAGAUUCCAGCCGUGGUCGACCUGAUCAUGGAAGUUUUGGUGAUCACUCCCGAUUGGACGGUCCCAUACAUCGCGUACAUUAUCAAAAAAGAGCUCCCAGAGGACGAAGACGAGGCUCGCCAGAUAGUCCGUCGAUCCAAAGCUUUCAUCGUGAUGAAAGGGCAGCUUUACAAAGAGAGUGUCACAGGUGUAUCCCAACGCUGCAUCACCCCAGAAGAAGGUCAGAUGAUCCUAAAUGAUAUCCACUCAGGGACCUAUGGUCACCAUGCGUCCUCUCGUACCAUCGUGGCCAAAGCAUACCAAGCUGGAUUUUAUUGGCCUCGAGCAAAUGAGAUGGCGAAAGAUAUAGUCGACAAGUGCGCAGGUUGCCAGUUUUACUCAAACAUGUCUCACAAGCCCGUAUCUGCCCUGAAGACUAUUCCACUCGUCUGGCCGUUUGCAGUCUGGGGAUUGGAUAUGGUCGGACCCUUCAAAACCGGCGCGAGUGGCUUCACCCAUUUUCUCGUAGCAGUCAACAAGUUUACCAAGUGGAUCGAAGCCAAGCCCAACAAGAACCUUGGAGUUGGCACUGCCAUCAGUUUCAUCAGAGAGUUGAUAUUUAGAUAUGGAAUUCCUCACAGUAUCAUCACAUAUAACGGCUCCAACUUUGAUUCUGAUGAUUUCAAAGCGCUCUGUGCAUCUCAAGGCACUCGGGUAGACUACGCAUCUAUCGCGCACCUGCAGUCAAAUGGACAAGCUGAAAGGGCGAAUGGUCUGAUCCUUCAGGGGUUAAAGCCUCGCCUAAUGCUUGAUCUUAAGCAUGCUGCUGGGGCUUGGGUGACCGAAUUGCCAUCAGCCCUAUGGGGGCUCAUGACAACACCCAACAGAUCCUUCCGAGUAAUUUGCUACACAAUGCUCCCAUAGUUGAACUGUUCUCAGAAGCCGAAGCAGAGCAAGCACGCGAAGACGCAGUCAAUCUCUUGGAGGAAAAAUGCGAGAUGGCUUUGGUUCGGUCGACCAUUUAUCAACAGGUUCUGUGUCGAUUCUACACCCGCAAUGUCAGAGGUCGAGCGUUUCAGGAAGGAGACCCGGUGCUCCGAGUGGUUCAGAAACGACCUCACAAGCUCGCUCUGGCCUGGGAAGGUCCAUUCAUCAUCACCAAGGUGCUUCACAAUGGAGCGUAUCACAUCUACUACGUAACCAAGAAAAUGGAUGAGCCACGUGCAUGGAAUGCGGAGCUGCUUCAUCCUUUCUAUACCUAGAAUCACUCGACCCGACGAGUUGUAAUAAAAGCACUUCAGUUUGUUUUCCCAAAGACAAGAUCUUUACAAUAUCUUAAUGAUUGGUUUCUCGUAAUCACUUGUGUCCAAAUCCCCCAGUGGGUGACUUAGCCGCGAACCCGAUUCUCCUAAGUUAAAAAACACUCCGAGUGGAGAGUGAUCCUCCCACUUGGGGGCUGAUAACCCACAAGUGUAGGGGAUCGCAACAACUUUUGAGGGUAGAGUAUUCAACCCAAAUUUAUUGAUUAGACACAAGGGGAGCCAAAGAAUAUUCUUAAGUAUUAGCAGUUGAGUUGUCAAUUCAACCACACCUGGAUAACUUAGUAUCUGCAGCAAAGUAUUUAGUAGAAAAGUAGUAUGAUAGUAGUGGUAACCGUAUCAAGAACACAGAUAUAUUCAUGGAAACAUAAUAGGUUCAGAUCUGAAAUCAUGGCACUCGGGCACUAGUGACAAACAUUAAGCAUAGCAAAGUCAUAGCAACAUCAAUCUCAGAACACAGUGGAUACUAGGGAUCAAACGCUAACAAAACUAACUUGAUUACAUGGUAAAUCUCAUCCAACCCAUCACCACCCAGCAAGCCUACGAUGGAAUUACUCACGCACGACAGUGAGCAUCAUGAAAUUGGUGAUGGAGGAUGGUCGAUGAUGACGACGGCAACGAAUCCCCCUCUCCAGAGCCCCAAACGGACUCCAGAUUAGCCCUCCCAAGAGAGAUUAGGGCUUGGCGGCAGCUCCGUAUUGUAAAACGCGAUGAAACUUUCCCUCUGAUUUUUUUCUCCGUGAAACGGAAUAUAUGGAGUUGGAGUUGAGGUCGGCGGAGCGUCAGGGGGCCCACGAGACAGGGCGACGCGCCCAGGGGGGAGGGCGUGCCCCCACCCUCGUGGACAGGGUGUGGGCCCCCUGGUCUUGAUUCUUUCACCAGUAUUUUUUAUAUUUUUCAAAACUUAUCUUCGUGGAUUUUCAGGUCAUUCCGAGAACUUUUGUUUUCUGCACAAUAAACAACAUCACGGCAGUUCUGCUGAUAACAUCGUCAGUCCGGGUUAGUUCAAUUCAAAUCAUGCAAAUUAGAGUCUAAAACAAGGGUAAAAGUGUUUGGAAAAGUAGAUACAUUGGAGACGUAUCAACUCCCCCAAGCUUAAACCUUUACUUGUCCUCAAGCAAUUCAGUUGAUAAACUGAAAGUGAUAAAGAAAAAAAUUUACAAACUCGGUUUGCUCUUGUUGUUGUAAAUAUGUAAAGCCAGCAUUCAGGUUUCCAGCAAGUAUUAUGAACUAACCAUACUCACAAUAAUACCUAGGUCUCACAAUUACUCAUAUCAAUGGCAUAAUUAGCUAGCGAGCAAUAAUAAUAAAACUCGGAUGACAACACUUUCUCAAAACAAUCAUAAUAUGAUAUAACAAAAUGGUAUCUCGCUAGCCCUUUCUGAGACCGCAAAACAUAAAUGCAGAGCACCUUUAAAGAUCAAGGACUGACUAAACAUUGUAACUCACGGUAAAAGAGAUCCAGUCAAGUCAUACCCAAUAUAAACCAAUAGUAAUGAAUGCAAAUGACAGUGUGCUCCCCAGCGGGUGCUUUUUAAUAACAAGGUGAUGACUUAACAUAAAAGUAAAUAGAUAGGCCGUUCGCAGAGGGAAGCAGAUAUUUGUACAGGUGCCAGAGCUCGAUUUUAAAAUAGAGAUGAAUAACAUUUUGAGUGGCAUACUUUCACUGUUAACACAACAACUAUGAGAUGGCUAUAUCUUCCAUACUACAUGCAUUAUAGGCGGUUCCCAAACAGAAUGGUAGAAGUUUAUACCCCACCACCACCAACAAGCAUCAAUCCAUGGCUUGCUCAAACUAACGAGUGCCUCCAACAAACAAGAACCCUGGGGGAGUUUUGUUUAAUUAAUUUGAUUUGCUUUGAUCUUUUUGGAUCAUAGGAUUGGGCAUCCCGGUUACCGGCCCUUUCUCGUGAAUGAGGAGCGGAGUCCACUCCUCUUGAGAAUAACCCACCUAGCAUGGAAGAUACAUGCAGCCCUAGUUGAAACAUGAGCUGCUCGAGCAUACAAAAAAAAUUCAUUUGAAGGUUUGGAGUUUGGCACAUACAAAUUUACUUGGAAUGGCAGGUAGAUACCGCAUAUAGGAAGGUAUGGUGGACUCAUAUGGAACAACUUUGGGGUUUAAGGAGUUUGGAUGCACAAGCAGUAUUCCCGCUUAGUACAGGUGAAGGCUAGCAAAAGACUGGGAAGCGACCAACUGAGAGAGCGACAAUAGUCAUGAACAUGCAUUAAAAUUAAUUCACACCAAGUACAAGCAUGAGUAGGAUAUAAUCUACCAUGAACAUAAAUAUCGUGAAGGCUAUGUUGAUUUGUUUCAACUACAUGCGUGAACAUGUGCCAAGUCGAGUCAGUGAAUUCAUUCAAAGGAGGAUACCAUCCCAUCAUACCACAUCACAAUCAUUUUAAUAGCAUGUUGGCACGCAAGGUAAACCAUUAUAACUCAUUGCUAAUCAAGCAUGGCACAAGCAACUAUAAUCUCUAAAUGUCAUUGCAAAUAUGUUUACUUCAUAAUAAGCUGAAUCAGGAAUGAUGAACUCAUCAUAUUUACAAAAACAAGAGAUGUCGAGUUCAUUCCAGCUUUUCUCAUCUCAAUCAGUCCAUCAUAUAUCGUCAUUAUUGCCUUUCACUUGCAUGACCGAACGAUGUGUAUAAUAAUAAUAGUGCACGUGCAUUGGACUAAGCUGGAACCUGCAAGCAUUCAACUCAAGAGAGAAGACAAAGUAAUAUGGGCUCCAAGUUAAGUCAACAAUCAUGCAUAUGAGAGCCACUAAACAUUUUCAAUACGGUCUUCUACUCUCGACCCCCAAAGGAAAGAAAAGAAAAGAAAACUAUUUACACGGGAAAGCUCCCAACAAGCAAGAAGAAGAAUGAGAAAUCUUUUUGGGUUUUCAUUUUCAUUCUACUACAAGCAUGGAAAUUAAACUAACUAAUUUUUUUGGUUUUUCUUAAAGUUUAUCAAACAAACAAGAAAAAAGUGAGAAAAAGAAAAUUAAACUAACAUGGAUAAUACAAUGAAAGAGUAUGAGCACCGACAACUAGAAUAGUGUGUGAACAUGAAUGUAAAGUCGGUGAGAAAUACAUACUCCCCCAAGCUUAGUCUUUUGGCCUAAGUUGGUCUAUUGCCAUGGACCACGGCUACUCUCCCAGGUGUACUAAGGGGUGUAAUCAGGAUACCACUGGCUGGCCAUCUCCUCCGGAUCCCACUGGUAAGAUGAUGCAUGAUAAGGGUCCAGUGAAGGUUCCGGCUCAGGCUCAGGUUCUGGAGUGGAUGCUUGGCCUUGAUGAGCGUACACUGCUCCCGGUGUGACAAGAUAAUUAACUGCAAUCAAAUCAAACAACAGAGGCGCAGGCAGAAUAAUAGUCUCAUUGUGUUUCUUAGUAAAUCUCAGGUUAUACAGAAGCAUCUUAUCUUCGUUGUCAACAAUAAACUCAUGCUCUACCAUGCUCCUAUAAUCUAAAAUGUAAGGAGGCAAUAUUGUCUCAUCUUUCUCAUGGUGCCUAAUAGGUAUCUCAAAAUAUUUAGCCAGACGUGUAGCAUAGAUACCUCCAAAGAUGGGGCCUUUUGUACAAUUCAGGCUUAGCCGUUUAGCAAUGACGACACCCAUACUAAAACUAUUAUCACCAAACAAGGUAUGGUGAAGAAUAAUAAUAUCAGGAACACUGAAAUUUCCACUAUUUCCAUGACCAAUUAAGCAUCGACUAGCAAAUAUGGCUAAGUAGCAUAAAACAGGAAAGUGUAUGCUAGAGAUUCUCGCGUCGGAACCCUUCUUUGGAUCCCCUACAGUAAUAGUGUUAACAAAGCCAUCCACAUCUUUACGAUGUGGUUCAUCUAAUUUUCCCUCAAAGGUAUCCUACAUAUCGCGCAAAAAUUACAUAAAGACAUUUCCCUAAAUUCAUCAUAUAAAUGAAAUGAUACUGAAGGUGGUGACUUCUUAGGGUAAUAAUAAAAGUUUUGCAUGAAAGUAUUGGUGAGUAAGAGAUACUGAUCGAUCCGGUCGUGGAGGAAAUCUGUGAGGCCUGCAUUCUCGAUCAAAGAAUAAAAGUCUUCAUAAAUCCCGGCUUCUCUCAAGAAUUCGUCACAGGUCCAUUCACACGGCCGUACUUUCGCUAUGCGAGGAAGAUUAUACUUGGCCUUUUCCUUCUCUUUAGCUUGUCUUUCCUGGGAGCCUUGGCUAGAAGAGCCCCUCAAAAAUCUCCUUAACAUUUUCUGAAAAUUUCUGAAAUUUUAAUAAAUUCAAAAUAAAAGUGAAUAAAACUAAACAAGAUUGGUAGCAACUACUCCUACAAGUGCCUAGAGCAUAUAUCAUGCAUUAGAAUUACUUGGGACCUCAUAAAUCUGACAUGCAAGCUCAAGAACAGGGUCACCUAUGCAGCAAAAUUUUGCAAUGAAUAAAGCACUAGAACAAAAACUAAUUGGACCAAUGGACGAGUCACAUACCAAGCAACAAUCUUCCAAAGCAGUUUUGUGAAUGGUGCUUUGAGCAAGGAGAUAAAAAAUCACAGCAAAAUGAGCUAGAACUCGUGCUUGAGCUGGAUGGGGAUUUUUUUGGGAAGAAGAUGGAGUGUGUGGGUGUAGGAAUAAGUGGAGGGGGGCACUGUGGGCCCACGAGACAGGGGAGCUCCCAGGGGGUGUGGGCGCGCCCUUCACUCUCGUGGCCAGGUGCUUUCCCCUCCUGCAGGGCAUUUGGAGCACUUUUAUUUUUGGGAUAUUUUUCAUUGCACGGAUAAUUCAGAAAACAGACAGAUGAUACUAUUUUUGCUUUAUUUAUUUUAAAUAACAGAAAGUAAAAAGAGGUGGAAGGUUGUGCCUUCUAGUUUCAUCCAUCUCAUGAUCAUCAAAAUGAAUCCACUAACAAGGUUGAUCAAGUCUUGUUAACAAGCUCAUUCCGAAUAACAUGGAAUCGGAGAAAUUUCGGAUAACACUAAGUUACCUCAACGGGGAUAUGAACAUCCCCAAAUAAGAAUAUCAUAUUUUUUUUCUUGACAGUAGGAAGAGGAAAUUCAAAACCUCCAAUAAUGAUAGUUGGACUUUUUCCAAUAGAAUUGAUGCUAUGAACUUGCGAAUUUUUCCUCGGAAAGUGUACUGUAUGCUCAUUACCAUUAACAUGGAAAGUGAUAUUGGAAGAACUAGGUGCCUCUAAAUUAUUUCUCUGAUAAUCCUGCUCAAUUCACUUAGAGUGGCCUUUAGGAUACAAAGGUUCCUGAGUCAUUCUACCAGUUCUAGUAGCCACUCUAAUAGCAAAGUCAUUAUUAUUAUUUAAUUCAUCGAGCAAAUCAUUUUGAGCUUUAAGUACUUGCUCAGCUUGAGUGGCAACCAUAGAAGCAUAUUUGCUGAUGAGUUUAAGUUCACCUUUAACUCUAGCCAUAUAAUCACUCAAGCAUCCUGCCUCAAAAGCAUUAUUCUUUAAUUCUCUACCAACAUAAGCAUUAACACUUUCUUGUCUAUCCAUAAAGUCACCAAAUUCAUCUAAGCAUGGGCUAUGAAAUUUAGUAGACGGAAUUUCAACUUUAUCAUAUCUAUAGAGAGAAUUUACCUUUACUGCCUGUGUCGGGUUAUCAAGAUAAUGUGGUCCUUCAACAGGAGGUGUAUUAAGACCAUGUAUUUCUUCAAUAGGAGGUAAAUUCUUAACAUCUUCAGCUUUAAUACAUUUUUCUUUCAUUGAUUUAUUUGCCUCUUGCAUAUCUUCAGGAUUGAGAAAUAGAACGCCCCUCUUCUUAGGAGUGGGUUUAGGAAUAGGCUCAGGAGUUGGCUCAAUUGGUUCGGGGAUUGCCUCAGGAAUUGGCUCAGGAAGAGUUCAAUUAUUUUCAUUAGUCAACAUAUUACUCAAUAGUAAUUCAGCUUCAUUGACUGUUCUUUCCCUGAAAACACAACCAGCACAACUAUCCAAGUAGUCCUUGGAAGCAUCGGUUAGUCCAUUAUAAAAGAUAUCAAGUAUUUCAUUUUUCUUAAGCGGAUGAUCAGGCAAAGCAUUAAGUAAUCGGAGAAGCUUCCCCCAAGCUUGUGGGAGACUCUCUUCUUUGAUUUGCACAAAAUUAUAUAUUUCCCACAAGGCAGCUUGUUUCUUAUCAGCAGGAAAAUAUUUAGCAGAGAAGUAAUAAAUCAUAUCCUGGGGACUACGCACAAACCCAAGAUCAAGAGAAUUAAACCAAGUCUUAGCAUCACCCUUAAUGAGAAUGGAAAUAUCUUAAGGAUAUAAUAAUAGCGAGACUUCUCAUUAUUAGUAAACAAGGUGGCUAUAUCAUUCAACUUGGUAGGAUGUGCCACAACAGUUUCAGAUUCAAGGCCAUAAAAAGGAUCAGAUUCAACUAAAGUAAUUAUUUCAGGAUCAACAGAAAAUUCAUAAUCCUUAUCAGUAGCACAGAUAGGUGAAGUAGCAAAAGCAGGGCCAGGUUUCAUUCUAGCAUUAAGAGACUGCUGCUUCCAUUUAGCUAAUAACUUCUAAAGAUCAUAUCUAUCUUUACAAGCAAAGAUAGCUCUAGCAGCUUCCUCAUCCAUAACAUAACCCUUAGGAACAACAGGAAAUUCAUAAUCAGGGGGAGAACUUUCAUCAUCCGUAUCAUCAAUAAUAGCAUCUUAAAUAAUUUCAUUCUCUCUAACCCUAGCAAGUUGUUCAUCAAGAAAUUCACCUAAUGGCAAAGUAGUAUCACGCACAAAAGUGGUUUAAUCAUAAGUAUCAUGUAUAGCAGAAGUGGCAUCAUCAAUAACAUGCGACAUAUCAGAAUUCAUAGCAGUAGAAGGUUUAGGUGUCGCAAGCUUACUCAAAACAGAAGGAGAAUCUAGUGCAGAGCUAGAUGGCAGUUCCUUACCUCCCCUCGUAGUUGAGGGAAAAAUCUUGGUUCUUUCGUCUUUCAAGUUCCUCAUACUGAUCAACAGAUAUAAAUCCCAAGUGAGUCAAAGAAUAGAGCUAUGCUCCCCGGCAACGGCGCCAGAAAUUAGUCUUGAUAACCCACAAGUGUAGGGGAUCGCAACAACUUUCAAGGGUAGAGUAUUCAACCCAAAUUUAUUGAUUCGACACAAGGGGAGCCAAAGAAUAUUCUUAAGUAUUAGCAGUUGAGUUGUCAAUUCAACCACACCUGGAUAACUUAGUAUCUGCAGCAAAGUAUUUAGUAGCAAAGUAGUAUGAUGGUAGUGGUAACCGUGGCAAAAAGUAAAGAUAAUAGUUUUGUAGUGAUUGUAACAGUAGCAACGGAAAAGUAAAUAAGCGAAACACAAUAUGUGAAAAGCUCGUAGGCAUUGGAUCAGUGAUGGAUAAUUAUGCCAGAUGCGAUUCCUCAUGUAAUAGCUAUAACAUAGGGUGACACAGAACUAGCUCCAGUUCACCAAUGUAAUGUAGGCAUGUAUUCCGAAUAUAGUCAUACGUGCUUAUGGAAAAGAACUUGCAUGCCAUCUUUUGUCCUACCCUCCCAUGGCAGCAGGGUCCUAGUGGAAACUAGGGGAUAUUAAGGCCUCCUUUUAAUAGAGAACCGGAACAAAGCAUUAGCACAUAGUGAAUACAUGAACUCCUCAAACUACGGUCAUCAGCGAGAAGUAUCCCGAUAAUUGUCACUUCGGGGUUGUCGGAUCAUAACACAUAAUAGGUGAGUAUAGACUUGCAAGAUAGGAUCAAGAACACACAUAUAUUCAUGAAAACAUAAUAGGUUUAGAUCUGAAAUCAUGGCACUCGGUCCCUAGUGACAAGCAUUAAGGAUAGCAAAGUCAUAGCAACAUCAAUCUCAGAACAUAGUGGAUACUAGGGAUCAAACCCUAACAAAACUAACUUGAUUACAUGGUAAAUCUCAUCCAACCCAUCACUGUCCAACAAGCCUACGAUGGAAUUACUCACGCACGGUGGUGAGCAUCAUGAAAUUGGUGAUGGAGGAUAGUUGAUGAUGACGACGGCGACGAAUCCCCCUCUCCGGAGCCCCGAACAGACUCUAGAUCAGCCCUCCCGAGAGAGAUUAGGGCUUGGCGGCGGCUCCGUAACGUAAAACACGAUGAAACUUUAUCUUUGAUUUUUCUCUCCACAAAAUGGAAUAUAUGGAGUUGGAGUUGAGGUCGGUGGAGCGUCAGGGGGCCCACGAGACAUGGGGGCGUGCCCAGGGGGGAGGGCGCGUCCCCCACCCUCGUGGACAGGGUGUGGGCCCCCUGGUCUUGAUUCUAUCACCAGUAUUUUUUAUACUUUCCAAAACUUAUCUCAUUGGAUUUUCAGGUCAUUCCAAGAACUUUUGUUUUCUGCACAAUAAACAACAUCAUGGCAGUUCUGCUGAAAACAGCGUCCGUCCGGGUUACUUUCAUUCAAAUCAUGCAAAUUAGAGUCCAAAACAAAGGCAAAAGUGUUUGGAAAAGUAGAUACGUUGGCGACGUAUCAGGGGCUUAGCCGCGAACCCGAUUUGCAUAAGUUAAAAAACACUCCGAGUGGAGAACGAUCCUCCCACUGGGGGGAUAGUCGCGAACCCGAUUCGCCUAAGUUAAAAAACACUCCGAGUCGAGAGCGAUCCUUCCACUCGGGAGCUUAGCUGCGACCCUGUAAUUGCCUAAAUUAAAAAAUACUCUGAGUGGAGAGCUAUCCUCCCACUCGGGGGCUUAGCUACGACCCCGUAAUUGCCUAAGUUAAAAAACACUCCGAGUGGAGAGUGAUCCUCCCACUCGGGGGCUUAGCUGCGACCCGGUAAUCGCCUAAGUUAAAAAACACUCCGAGUGGAGAGCCAUCCUCCCACUCGGGGGCUUAGUUGCGACCCCGUAAUCGCAUAAGUCAAAAACAUUCCGAGUGGAGAGCAAUCCUCUCACUCGGGGGCUUGGCUCCGACCCCGUAAUCGCCUAAGUUAAAAACCAUUCCGAGNNNNNNNNNNNNNNNNNNNNNNNNNNNNNNNNNNNNNNNNNNNNNNNNNNNNNNNNNNNNNNNNNNNNNNNNNNNNNNNNNNNNNNNNNNNNNNNNNNNNNNNNNNNNNNNNNNNNNNNNNNNNNNNNNNNNNNNNNNNNNNNNNNNNNNNNNNNNNNNNNNNNNNNNNNNNNNNNNNNNNNNNNNNNNNNNNNNNNNNNNUUUCCUAUGAGCAUCUGUGUCUAAAAUCCCCCAGUGGGUGACUUAGCCGCGAAUCCGAUUCGCCUAAGUUAAAAAACACUCCGAGUGGAGAACAAUCCUCCCACUCGGGGGCUUAGCUGCGACCCCGUAAUCGCCUAAGUUAAAAAACACUCCGAGUGGAGAGCAAUCCUCCCACUCGGGGGCUUAGCUGCAACCCCGUAAUCGCCUAAGUUAAAAAACACUCCGAGUGGAGAGCAAUCCUCCCACUCGGGGGCUUAGCUGCGACCCCAUNNNNNNNNNNNNNNNNNNNNNNNNNNNNNNNNNNNNNNNNNNNNNNNNNNNNNNNNNNNNNNNNNNNNNNNNNNNNNNNNNNNNNNNNNNNNNNNNNNNNNNNNNNNNNNNNNNNNNNNNNNNNNNNNNNNNNNNNNNNNNNNNNNNNNNNNNNNNNNNNNNNNNNNNNNNNNNNNNNNNNNNNNNNNNNNNNNNNNNNNAAUCGCAUAAGUAAAAAAACACUCUGAGUGGAGAGCAAUCCUCCCACUCGGGGGCAUAGCUGCGACCCCAUAAUCGCCUAAGUAAAAAACACUCCGAGUGGAGAGCAAUCCUCCCACUCGGAGGCUUAGCUGCGACCCCGUAAUCGCCUAAGUCACAAAUAUUCUCUGAGCUCCACCACGAGUACAAUGUUCCGUCCCUAUUCGAAGGAUGACAAGGCUCCACUGAACACCACCUCUGAGCUACGCCACAAAUACAAUGUUCCAUCCCUAUCCGCAAGGACGAUGAGGUGUUGACUGAACACCGUGACUGAGCUCCGUCACAAGUAAAAUGUACUUUCAUUCGGCAAAGGGUGAGAAGAUCGAGUCCACUCGGAACCGAAGGACAAUAAGAAACAGUUUAAAAAACAGAGCAAAACCCAUGAUAUUCAUAGAAAUCCAAGUUCAGAUAAACCCUGCAAAAGUUCAAACUGCAGCGGGCCGGAGUACUCAGGCAUCAAGCCUGAAAGAGUUUAACGAUUACACGAUCACUCGGCAUUCUGACGCAAAUAAAGAUGGGGCAUAAUGUUUUUCGGUCACUCGUCAGGAGAAGGGCUGGCUGGAUCACAGAAACUGUCAAGAUCAAUGCUAUCUACAAUGCGAGUGGCAGCUUCAAAGAAAGUGACCAUGAAGGACUAGAAAGUGUGCUUCAUGGUUUUCACAACCUUGAGGGCCGCCAGCUUGUCUUCUCUGGCGUCUUUGAAGUGCACUCGGACCAACGACAAGGCAACGUCAGCGCCACAGCGAGCAGACAAUUUCUUCCAUUGUUGCACUCAGCCAGGGAUCUGGUUCAGUCGAGUCAUCAAUGACUCAAGAUCUUGUGAAAGUUCCGCCUGAGGCCAAAGUUGAACAUCAACCCGAGUCAUCGCCACCUUCAGUCGGGCAAGAUAAGCAACAGCGUUGUCCAUGCAUGAUUCCAACCGCAGCAAGUUCAUCACAACAUCAUCUUUAACAGGACAAUUGAUGGGGUCGAGACCCGUCUCGACCUACCCAGUCUCAGCCUCAAAGUCCUGACAAAGUUCUGCACAGUCGGAAAAAUGGUGAGUUGAUAGUAUGACAAGACGUACCAAUCGACAGCAACUAAUCAAUCGAACGAUGAUACCUUCAAGCUUGAGGACCAGUUUUACAGCAAGUUGUCCCAGAUAGGACUCCGGCUCUCCCGUCUUGGUUUUGAGGCUUCAGACUUCAUUGGUUAAGUUCUCCUUCUCCUUCUUCAGUUGACCGACCUCGCGAUUGGCCUUAGAGACGGGAGUCUUUAGCUUCGAGUUCCCCUCUUCUAACUUGCUGACUGAAGCCAGCUUCUUGUCCGCAAGCACUGUCUUCUCUCGUGCCUCCUUUUGAGCAGUAGCAAGACCCCGAUCCUUCUUCUCCAGAGCCUCCUUCAUUUUUUCUAAAGAAAUAACAUUCUUCAGAUGAGCUUGAAGUUGAUGGUUUUCACUAUGCACAUCUGUUCGAGUGAAGUCACUCGGUUCAAAGAGACUAAAAAGAGAAACACGGUGGAGUACGGGUCACAAGGUGGACAGUUGACGAUUGGUUACCUCCCAUGAUAGUCGAUUCAUCCUGAGCAGUCUUGAGGUUCUUCUUGGCUAGCUUUAGAUCAAGACUGAGGCUGAUUUGCUUCUUUUUCAGUUUGGAAAGUUGAGCCCCAAGAUCACACGACCUCUGCGGUCAGCAAACAAGAUGCGUCAGUCGGCAGAAACAAAAGACAAUCACAGUGAAAGUUACUCUAAGACUACUGUCAAAUCAAACAUUCAACAGUAGUGCCGGGGACUACACCCAGUGGGUGCACUUAGGGUGCCCCCACUGGAUUGGAUCAACACUCAGCAUGGUCUGCCUAGCAUGAGUAAAAAAAAA
rnacentral:lncRNA from 1 species